GCCCAAUGAUGAAACCAAGGCGAAUACGAGCUGACUGAACAACAGCUGGUUUCUUCUCGCUUCUACUGGCGGGUAAUCUUGGCAGUGUAAGGGAGGCUUCUUGCUCUGCUGUAAGGGCCCGCCUACAGUAACCUGGCUCCACCAUUAUUUCUCCUCUAGAAGUAACAUUGGAGUUAAUAUGUUAUUUGGAUAGAGCCCAUAGUGUGCGUUUGUGUGUGUGUGUGUGCGUGUGUAGGGGCUUGGGGUUCAACCAGCUGUUUUCAAACUUCAGUCAGCAAUGAGUUGCUUCUUUGGUAAUCUGAGGGCC